AGUGAACGCUGGCGGUAGGCCUAACACAUGCAAGUCGAACGGCAGCACAGUAAGAGCUUGCUCUUACGGGUGGCGAGUGGCGGACGGGUGAGGAAUACAUCGGAAUCUACUUUUUCGUGGGGGAUAACGUAGGGAAACUUACGCUAAUACCGCAUACGACCUACGGGUGAAAGCAGGGGAUCUUCGGACCUUGCGCGAUUGAAUGAGCCGAUGUCUGAUUAGCUAGUUGGCGGGGUAAAGGCCCACCAAGGCGACGAUCCGUAGCUGGUCUGAGAGGAUGAUCAGCCACACUGGAACUGAGACACGGUCCAGACUCCUACGAGAGGCAGCAGUGGGGAAUAUUGGACAAUGGGCGCAAGCCUGAUCCAGCCAUACCGCGUGGGUGAAGAAGGCCUUCGGGUUGUAAAGCCCUUUUGUUGGGAAAGAAAAGCAGCAGGUUAAUACCCCGCUGUUCUGACGGUACCCAAAGAAUAAGCACCGGCUAACUUCGUG
rnacentral:rRNA from 1 species